ACCAUGAAAAAUGAAGUGCAGUGACUCAGGCAGCGCGUGAGAAGUCUGGCACCUUGGGAUAGUCCCGUCGGGGCGAAGGGCUCUGUCCUCUCCAAGGGUCCCCUCCAUCUCCUCCAAAUACAGACAGCGGGCCAAGCCUCAGAGGAGGUGAGCGGGAGUGAAGAAGUUCAUCUCCAAGGAGGGUUGCUCCUGAGGCUCAUUUAUACAAGAAAAUAAAAGUCCACGUGCCUCAUUGGAAACCAUGUCACCAUCAGAUACCACUGGGGAAGAAGCAGAGAUGGAUACAAGGGGGCAGGGUGCAGUGUGACUCCCCCCAGCCUGGGAGCCCUGAGGUGAAGGCUACGUGGGGUUGCUGUGCAGAGGAUGGAAUUACAAGCCUGCAUCUGAGACAAAGGUUCUUUAUGCUGCGUCUGCUCGUUAAUUAGCCGCUGGAAACUUUGGGACAGGGCCAUUAACAUGCUCAUAAACCUUUGAUUUCAAAUGUUUUUGCUCAGCCGCGAUUCUGAUGUGACUCCCCUCGUAAGCUGGAUGGAGGACGUUUGUUUCUUAACACUUAGGAGGCGCAUAGCUCCUCCAGCCCCGUGGCUCAUGAACUAGCCCGUUAAGGAUUCCGCCUCCUGCAGGCAGAAGCCUCCACUCGGCCUCCCAGAGCCUUGGAGGGCACCUAAUUGGGACAGCGUGAGGCCCCAAGGGAGCUCGAGGCUGGCGUGCGGCGAGGG